rnacentral:lncRNA from 1 species
AGUGAGUCCAGGGAAAUUCUAGUGUGUAAGGGCUGAAGAACAGCUCCUCAAAUUGCUCCCAGGGGCUACCUACCAGGAAAUUAUGUGACUUCAGUUUAUGCUUGUAGUAUUACAGUGACAUAACUGUUCUUGAAGGAAACUUAUAACAUUU